rnacentral:lncRNA from 1 species
UCUUUGAGGGGUUUCUGUUUCUCCCUCCCCCAUCUGGUUUGAAAAGACGUGAAAGGACCGCUCCCUGUGGAUGACGUACCAUUUGACGAGAAUGGUAAUAUGAGUAUCUGUUAAGAGUCACCUUUAGCUAUGUAUUACCGUGGCUAUAGAAUAUCUUAUAGGACCACUAUGGUUGGCACGAUCGUGGUCAUAGAUCGUGCCAUGGUUUAGCAAGUUAAAAAUGUCUCGUGAGCAAAUUAUCGUUAUAUAUCUGAUUCCACAUGGGUAGUAAGAAAUCUGUAUCUUCUCUCAGUAGAUGGAAGUCAAAAUGACUUC